AUCAGGAGAAUGGAUACGUAAAUUGUUGCCUAUCACGGAAUACUAAAUAGCAAAGAAAAUGAACGAGCUGGAGUUAUGCGGGUCAACAUGGGACAAUGUCCCAGGACUGCGAGGAAAACGGGAAAUGCAGAGGUCUGUCUACUCUAUACCAGUCCCAGUCUUGGACUGGGGCAAGUGGGGCCCUGUCCCAGGUCCCUCCAUCUAGGAGUCCCUGCCCGUUGGUUCCCCUUCCUUAAAAUUGUUUACCUCCCCAGUCAGCGCCUGGGACCAACUGGACGGGGCUGGCCGCUCUCUGCACAGGGACUUCAGCGCUGGGACCGGGACCUGCUGGGAGUGGGACCUGCUGGGACUUCCCUCUUCACAGGCCCCUGCACAGCACACCCAGGGGAUCGGAGAACCUGGGCAGCUCUGGACUGUGCCUUUCGGUGCCCAGCCAGGUUCCAGGCAGCCGCCGAUCGCCCCAGCUGGCUGGUGCCCGCGCUCUUCCGCCGCAGAGCGCGAGACCGGGUUGCCCGCAUGGUGCGGACACAGCAUUUUGGGCCACUCAGGUCGAUGAUGUAGACGGGGACUCUGCCAAAUUCAAUUCAAGAGCUGCUUCGCGAAGGGAGGGAGCAUUGGCGAAGAUUUUCCUUAGCCUCUGUUGUCUCCUGUAUCUUUCCAGCUCUGCGAACUUCUCUGAGGAAUUGUUUCCAGUGUCUCCAAGUCUCUUCUGGACACAUCACAGAAGGUUCACGCAGGAAAGGGACUUAGGAGGUCCUCCAGCCCAACUCGGGGGAAAGGAGAACUUCUAGGGCUGACCCACCAGACUUCUGGUAAGGAGAUCCGUCUCGGGGCAGAGGGGUUACAGCAAAUGGAGAGACUGCCCUCUUCCAGGGUAUAAAGAUGUUUUCGAAGACAUAAAAGCUCGACUUCGCCAAAGACCAGAGAAAAUUGUUCCUGAGCUUGAGUAUCAGUGAGAAAUUCGAAGAUGGCUCUUCUCUUCCCAGAGAAUGCUCUCCUUCAUGUGGGAGCCUACCUCCAGGCCUCUCGGUCCCAUUCUGCUCAAGUGGGGAGUCUGUAGAAAUAUUAUGCCACACUUGACAUCAACCCUACAUAUUGGCCUAUCUCCCUCCCACCCCAUUUCCUAGAUGUCGGUAUUCCCCCAACACCUAAGAGGAAAUAAGUUAUCAUUCCUAUCUUGAGUGACUCAUUUGACAGAAAUCAGAAGCUCCCAUCUCAAGUAAGGGUUGGACCAUGAGGUCAUAGUCUGACAGCUGGUGAACAGGUACGUGAAUUUAGAGGUAGUUAUGUAAUCCAGCAGUGCUCCCAGAUAGAAAAAUCAACUCCUGAACAUACGACAAUAUGGAUGAACCCUGACAUAAGUACGAUGAGUAAGAGAAGCCAAACGAACAAAAGUAUAUACUGUGUGUCUCAAUGUCUAUAAAAUUUUAGACAAUGCAAACACAUCUACAGAGACAGAAAGCAGAUCAAUGGUUGCCUGAGAAUGGGGAACGGGUAAGGAUUACAAGGGGUGGGAGAAAUCUUUUGAGGGUGAUGGAUGUGUUUAUUAACUUGAUUGUGGACAUAUACAUGUGCUCAACCUCAAAUUGUACAACCUUAAUUAUGUGCUGUUUAUUGUAUGUCAAUUAUACCUCAAUAAAGAUGUAUAAGCAACAACAACAACAACAAAAUCUAACCUGGGUAAU